rnacentral:rRNA from 1 species
AGGGCCUACGGGAGGCAGCAGUGGGGAAUAUUGCACAAUGGGGGAAACCCUGAUGCAGCGACGCCGCGUGAGUGGUGAAGUAUUUCGGUAUGUAAAGCUCUAUCAGCAGGGAAGAUAAUGACGGUACCUGACUAAGAAGCUCCGGCUAAAUACGUGCCAGCAGCCGCGGUAAUACGUAUGGAGCAAGCGUUAUCCGGAUUUACUGGGUGUAAAGGGAGCGCAGACGGCAGGGCAAGUCUGAUGUGAAAGUCCGGGGCUCAACUCCGGGACUGAAUUGG